GUGCCAGGAGCAGGGAAGGAAGAUUUCCUUUUAAGCUUCUCAUCAACCAGCUUUCAUUUCUUUUCAGAUGUCACUUCUCAGUAACACCUUCCUAUAUUUUCUGUUGGGAGAAUUUGUGUCACAUGCACAAGGGGACCUGGAGCCUGGAAUACAAGGAAAAGUCUGGAAUGGAAUCAUACAACUGAACAGGACUCUCCUGCCAUGUCGCUGUGUGUCUGGUAAACAAAGUAGAACUCACAGCUGUAGGUCGGGCACUAGAAUCACGCCUGCAUCCAGCAGCCUGAGGUCUCCUUGACUUGCCUCUCCAGGUGUGGAAUCACUGCGUCAUGAGCUGGGGCAGAGGAGUUUGAGUCUCCAGUAUUCUCAAUGCCCAAGGCAGAGCCUUUACUUCAAAAAUGGGGCAGAAGAAUGGUACACACAGUUUGAAAAUCAUUUUGACAAGACUUGUUUUUAUACCACAUUCCAACGUAAAAGAUAACUGAAGUAAUCCAUGUAACAUGGCUUGGAUUAGAGCAAACUAAUGAGUGGGUAGAAAUGUAUUACGGAACUGUAGGUCAAGCACUAGAAAUUUUUGUCUGAAACAAGCACUGCACUGCCUCCUGGUGUGGGUGGCAUUCUACUUUUCCAAAGGAACCAGAGAAAGUAAAGGAAUACGAUUUGAUUAUUUUGGAUCUGUACUGUCACAGAUGAAAGAUUUUACUGUCAACUCUGAAAAAGCAACUUGUACCCACUGCAAACCUGCCCGGCCAGAGGCUAUUAAAAGAUUCUGUGUGUUGAAUGUUUGGGGCCCAGGUUGGGAUUUCAUCUCAUGCUAUGGGAUUGGCUCAUGGUUGCAAUUUACACAGUUUGUAACCAUGAUAGCCAGAUGACCGCAGAAGCGCUAAGGUGCGGGAAUGCCGAACAAGAGGAAACCAGCGCUGGUCUCUGGAUCAAAAUUAACUACCAACCAAGAGUUAGGAAAUGGAUCAAUGGCCAGGGAAGCAUUUUGGUGACCACUGCUCAAAGCUGCAGCCCCAGUGCAGUUGCUGAUAACCUUGUCAGCCCUCCAGAUAAAGACACAUCUUGUCACCCUCAGGCACCUGGCCCAGAGGUAAUAAAACGGUUGACUUAUCUUCUAAGGGUGGAGUCCGUCAAACCUCAGCCUCCGUAAUUAAAGAAAACUGAAAUUGCCUGUCACUUACAAAAAAAAAAAAAAAAAAGGCGGGGGAGGGGGGAGAGAGAAAGGAAAAAGGCCAAAGGCAGGAAAUUGCAUUUGUCUCUCUCCUUGGAUUUUAAAAAGGAAGUGAUCCUACCAGCCAAAAGUUUUCCAGCGAGAAAAACAGCCUGGCUCUACUGCCCUCUCCCCGGGGUAACAGGAUUGCAGACAGCUCGGGUCCACGUGACGGCCUAGAAAAGAGGCUCAAGCUGAUGAAAACCCAAGAAAUCUUCGGAGCUUUCCUUUCUGAAUGUCAAUGGCUGAGUCAGUGCGUUGCUGAGCGGGGAAGGAAGUCACAGUCACACAGAGUGACUCAUUCAGCGCUGUUCGCUCAGGCAGGCGGAUAAAAAGUUUUAGCGAAAGCAGUAACAAUCUCCUUUAAAUACUAGCACAGUAAGGAAAUUCCUCUCUUUCAGGCUGAAUGCCAUCCACACAAAAGAGCUCCUGUUGACAUCUCAUUUACAAUCUCCCCCAGGACACAGACAAGACCAUUUCAAUAAACCCAGCUCAGAAACACCUAUUGUUCAAAAUCUUCAACUAGCAACAGGCUACCACCACUCCCUAUUGUUUUGUAAAAUAAAAGAUUUAGAAGGAGAAGGAUUGGGGCUGUGGAAGCUCUGAAAAGAGGAAGGGAAAAAAGUCCCUUUGACUCGAGGCUGUCAGAGUGCACAGGAAGAAUAAAGUUAAUGAAUUUCCAUUUUUAUAAGAAGUGCAUAGGAAUGCCUGUUAAGCUUCUGAACUAGUGAUUGGGAAUUCUAAAUUUGAUGCCAACUUUGUGUGUAAAGAAGCUAAUUCCUGCCAACUUGUUUGCGAAAUGAAAAGCCGGAGACUGUACUCACCCUCUUCUCAGCCUUACAGAAGCCCAGAUAGCAGCACAAGCAAAUGCACCAGAUCCUAUUAGCUCCUUUCUGGAGGAUCACAGCAACUAACUGACUCCCGAUUCCUCGAACUACCGGUUGUGACUUGUUAAUAGGACAUGAAAUCCAUUUCUGAAAAUGAAACAGCUCAGGAAAUGUCAGAGUGCACCAAACAAAGGAACACAAGAGUGGAAGAUCCUGGACAGAUCCUGUCACUCCUGCGGACGGUCUGCCUUCAGGAUAAAGUGCUGACUCGAGGGCUUUAAAGAUUCCAAAGAACUUGGUUCCCACGCACCUUCGAGGUCUCAGAACUCUACAUCCUCCUGACCACUCUUACUUUUAGUUAUUAACAUUAAGUUCCCUGGUCGUUGCAGAUGGAAUUUCCCCUUUAGGGACAUGCUUUCCUCCUCUUUCCCCUUCAGGUAUCAUAGGUUGUCACCUCUGCCAGGAUGACUUAUGGAAUGUUCUAAAUGACUCCCCCAGUUCUUAUUAGAACACUGCACUUUUUAUUUGACAGAGCACUUUGUACAUUAUAAUUAUCUUCUCAAUUCCCUAUUAUUUAAGCUCCAAGUGGGCAUUCAGUAAAUAUUGUGUAAAUAUUUGCAUCGAAUGUUUCACAUUUUACAUAGCUCAACAUUUCCUUCCUACAUACCAAUUUGAAUAGUUAUUGUAAAGUAUCAUCUCCAUUUCUCAAAGUGUUUGUGUUCAUUUUUUUACACUUCAAUAUCUCCUGUUCAUUUGCUUUUCAAACACUAAUUAAUUUGGAAAUUAACUGGACUUUUAAAAAUCAAAGUAAUAAAAUUUGGAGAAAACGGUUCGACUUUUUCCUGGUCAUUCACCCUCCUGAAA